rnacentral:rRNA from 1 species
GCUUAGAGUUUGAUCCUGGCUCAGAUCGAACGCUGGCGGCAUGCUUUACACAUGCAAGUCGAACGGUAACAGGUCUUCGGAUGCUGACGAGUGGCGAACGGGUGAGUAAUACAUCGGAACGUGCCUAGUAGUGGGGGAUAACUACUCGAAAGAGUAGCUAAUACCGCAUGAGAUCUACGGAUGAAAGCAGGGGACCUUCGGGCCUUGUGCUACUAGAGCGGCUGAUGGCAGAUUAGGUAGUUGGUGGGGUAAAGGCUUACCAAGCCUGCGAUCUGUAGCUGGUCUGAGAGGACGACCAGCCACACUGGGACUGAGACACGGCCCAGACUCCUACGGGAGGCAGCAGUGGGGAAUUUUGGACAAUGGGCGAAAGCCUGAUCCAGCAAUGCCGCGUGCAGGAUGAAGGCCCUCGGGUUGUAAGCUGCUUUUGUACGGAACGAAGAGCCUGGGGCUAAUAUCCCCGGGUCAUGACGGUACCGUAAGAAUAAGCACCGGCUAACUACGUGCCAGCAGCCGCGGUAAUACGUAGGGUGCAAGCGUUAAUCGGAAUUACUGGGCGUAAAGCGUGCGCAGGCGGUUUUGUAAGACAGUGGUGAAAUCCCCGGGCUCAACCUGGGAACUGCCAUUGUGACUGCAAGGCUAGAGUGCGGCAGAGGGGGAUGGAAUUCCGCGUGUAGCAGUGAAAUGCGUAGAUAUGCGGAGGAACACCGAUGGCGAAGGCAAUCCCCUGGGCCUGCACUGACGCUCAUGCACGAAAGCGUGGGGAGCAAACAGGAUUAGAUACCCUGGUAGUCCACGCCCUAAACGAUGUCACUGGUUGUUGGGUCUUAACUGACUCAGUAACGAAGCUAACGCGUGAAGUUGACCGCCUGGGGAGUACGGGCCGCAGGGUGAAACUCAAAGGAAAUUGACGGGGACCCGCACAAGCGGGUGGAUGAUGUGGUUUAAUUUCGAUGCACGCGAAAAACCUUUACC